rnacentral:rRNA from 1 species
AUGUCGACGCGCCACCGCCCCCACCCCACUCCCUCCCACGCUGUCCACCGGCGUUCCCCUCACACUCUCACCGCUCGGCCCUCUCAUCCGCCUCCCGUCCCCUCGGCGGCGGAGCCCUCCCCAUCGCUAUCCCCCAACCCCGGCAGCGACCUCAACAGCCAGAUACCGCUCACGCUCCUCAUCGUCCUCCUCGACCUGCUCCUCUCGCCCGCGAUCCUCUCCAAAUUCCUCCGCACUGGCGUCCACCAAACCUCCGCACAUAGCAUCCUCGGCCAGGCCAGGGGCUUCCACUUCCAUUCCUCCCUCGUCGACCUCCCCGCCGUGUCCGCCGCCCGCUCCCUCCUCAUUGUCUGUGCGUACACGGCGUGCGGGGGCGGCGCGGCCUACCUGUGGGUGGCGGCGGCCUGCAUCCUCGGCUCCCUCUUAUACGUCCUCGCCAAGGCCGUCGGCAGUUCGGUCGUGCGUAUGAAUCCGUCAAGGUAUGAAUCCAACCCCUCCCCUCCCCUCCGCCCGCCUCAGCUCCUCCCUCGGGUGCUACGAAUCUCGACCCAAUCUUGGCUAGCAGCAGAUUGA